rnacentral:rRNA from 1 species
CCUACGGGAGGCAGCAGUGGGGAAUAUUGCGCAAUGGGCGCAAGCCUGACCCAGCAACGCCGCGUGAGGGAAGAAGGCUUUCGGGUUGUAAACUUCUUUUAAGAGGGAAGAGCAGAAGACGGUACCUCUUGAAUAAGCCACGGCUAACUACGUGCCAGCAGCCGCGGUAAUACGUAGGUGGCAAGCGUUGUCCGGAUUUACGGGGGGUAAAGGGCGUGCAGCCGGGAAGACAAGUCAGAUGUGAAAGCCCGGGGCUCAACCGCGGAAAUGCCUUUGAAACUGGUUUUCUUGAGUACCGGAGAGGUGAUAGGAAUUCCUUGUGUAGCGGUGAAAUGCGUAGAUAUAAGGAAGAACACCAGUGGCGAAGGCGGAUGACUGGACGGCAACUGACGGUGAGGCGCGAAAGCGUGGGGAGCAAACAGGAUUAGAUACCCUUGUAGUC